rnacentral:rRNA from 1 species
UACGGGGGGGCAAGCGUUGUUCGGAAUUACUUGGGCGGUAAAGGGCUCGUAGGUGGCCAACUAAGUCAGACGUGAAAUCCCUCGGCGUUAACCGGGGAACUGCGUCUGAUACUGGAUGGCUUGAGUUUGGGAGAGGACGCGGAAUUCCAGGUGUAGCGGUGAAAUGACGUAUGAUAUCAGGAGGAACACCGAUGGCGAAGGCAGAUCUCUGGGCCGUAACUGACGCUGAGGAGCGAAAGCAUGGGGAGCGAACAGG